ensembl:lncRNA
GUUGACCGAGUGCAGUGAGGUUUACCAGAUGACUUGAUAAGCAAAGAUGGCUGCGCCCAUAGCGGAUGUCUUCAUCAACCAGAGCAUGAUACCUGCAAUGUGCAACCAGCUGUACUGCCAGUGAAUGAAGGUUUCACAAAAGAGAAUACCUUCUUCCUCAUCCACCUGAUGUGCCACCUUGAGCUAGAUGGCGGGGGACCUGCCAAGUCCCUCAAUGACCUCAACCGGCGGCUGAGGCUGGGCAAGAAAACCAAGAAGCUGCUGUGGGAGUAGAUGGCUGGGAAGCUAUGCCUACAGUUCGGGGAGCAAUUCCCAGAUGACAAGGUGGCCUGCAAGUGGACGGCGCUGGUGGAGGGAUAAGAGAGUGAAGGACAAUAAUGUGUGGACGGGAAGGGGCCCUGUCCGCUUCUUAUUCUAUACAGAGAUGGACGAGCUGCUUUGGGUCAACCUCGACGUGGACCCACCUGUCGUGGGGAGCGAUUGUGCCGAUGUCGUGGUACGCCGACCAGAUGCACUGAGGCGGUCAAAUAGUGCUCCCUCUACAGCGUCAGCUCCCUCAUCUGUGCCUUCAACAAACACAUCGUUAUCAACGCCGCCCACCAGAGCUCCCUCCCUCCCGAGCGCAGCCAACCAGCUCCUCUUCCCAGAAACCUGCUUCAACUAAAGCCAGUCCACCUCCAGGGCGAGUCCCCACCAGACCCUCUGACACCCCAAGGACGCGUAAGCUGCAGAGGGAGGAUGAGCAUUUGGACUACCUAAAGAGGUCUGAUGCUGUGAUGGCUGCAUUAUUGAUGUCCCCGACGGUAAUGACGGCGCUGAAGGGAGAUCAGAGGAAGCUCUUAGAGAUGUUCAGCAGGAUGGUGCACAGAGCAGUAGGACUUCCUGUCGAUGCAGUCCACUCCUCUGACCGUAGUCUUCUGGAUCGUGAUAUGGCAGCCAUCAAUCGCUCCAAUGACCCC